rnacentral:rRNA from 1 species
UAGUCACGCUGUAAACGAUGUCGAUUUAGAGGUUGUGGUCUUGAACCGUGGCUUCUGGAGCUAACGCGUUAAAUCGACCGCCUGGGGAGUACGGCCGCAAGGUUAAAACUCAAAUGAAUUGACGGGGGCCCGCACAAGCGGUGGAGCAUGUGGUUUAAUUCGAUGCAACGCGAAGAACCUUACCUACUCUUGACAUCCAGAGAAUCCUUUAGAGAUAGAGGAGUGCCUUCGGGAACUCUGAGACAGGUGCUGCAUGGCUGUCGUCAGCUCGUGUUGUGAAAUGUUGGGUUAAGUCCCGCAACGAGCGCAACCCUUAUCCUUUGUUGCCAGCGCGUGAUGGCGGGAACUCAAAGGAGACUGCCGGUGAUAAACCGGAGGAAGGUGGGGAUGACGUCAAGUCAUCAUGGCCCUUACGAGUAGGGCUACACACGUGCUACAAUGGCAGAUACAAAGAGAAGCGACCUCGCGAGAGCAAGCGGAACUCAUAAAGUCUGUCGUAGUCCGGAUUGGAGUCUGCAACUCGACUCCAUGAAGUCGGAAUCGCUAGUAAUCGUAGAUCAGAAUGCUACGGUGAAUACGUUCCCGGGCCUUGUACACACCGCCCGUCACACCAUGGGAGUGGGUUGCAAAAGAAGUAGGUAGCUUAACCUUCGGGAGGGCGCUUACCACUUUGUGAUUCAUGACUGGGGUGA